GGCUACUUUUGGUAAGCAGAACUGGCACUGUGGGAUGAACCAAAUGCCGGGUUAAGAUGCCCGAUGCCAAUGCUCAUCAGACCUCAGAAAAGGUGUUGGUUGAUAUAGACAGCAGGAUGGUGGCCAUGGAAGUUGGAAUCCGCUAAGGAGUGUAACAACUCAGCUGCCAAAUCAACUACUCCUGAGAAUGGAUGGAGCUGGAGCGUUGGGCCCAUACCCGGCCGUUGACAGCAGUUGAGAGUGGAUGGGAGCGGCAGGGGCAGUACACCCGUGUGAGUGCAGUGGGGGUCCUCCCGUCCCCUCCUCCCCCCCCUCCCCUGCAGCCCCACGGAGUCUACGCCGGGAGGAGUAGGAGGGCCGCUGCGGUAAGCUUUGAAGCCUAGGGUAUGGGCCCAGGUGGAUAGGCCACAGGUGCAGAUCUUGGUGGUAGUAGCAAAUUUUCAAAUGAGAACUUUGAAGGCCGAAGUGGAGAAGGGUUCCAUGUGAACAGCAGUUGAACAUGGUUCAUUUGGUCCUGAGAGAUGGGUGAGUGCCAUUCCGAAGGGAUGGGUGAUGUCCUCUGUUGCCCUCAGCUGAUUGAAAGGGAGUUGGGUUCAGAUCCCCGAAUCCAGAAUGGCGGAGAUGGGCACCAUGAGGCGUCCAGUGCGGUAAUGUGACUGACCCUGGAGAAGCAUGUGGGAGCCCUGGGGAGGGUUCUCUUUUUCUUUGUGAAGGGCAGGGCGCCCUGGAAUGGGUUCGCCCCGAGAGAGGGGACUGUACCUUGGAAAGCAUCGUGGUUCUGGUGGCAUCUGGUGAGCUCUGGCUGGCCCUUGAAAAUCCAGGGUAGACGGUGUAAGUCUCACGCAGGGCCAUACCCAUGUCUGCAGCAGGUCUCCGAGAUGAGCAGACUCUGGCAUGUUGGAACAAUGUAGGUAAAGGAAGUCCUCAAGCCGGAUCCAUAACUUCGGGAUAAGUAUUGGCUGUAAGGGCUGGGUCGGUUGGGCUGGGUGCGUGCCGCCGCUCGACGAGGCCCCGCUGCCCCCCCCAAGCCCCAGGAAUGCCUGUUGUGGCCCUCCCCUGCCCCAACCCGUGUGCUGCUCACUCCCUCCCCCGCCCCCUCUCUCUCUGUCCUCCCCC
rnacentral:lncRNA from 10 species